UACGUAGGGUGCAAGCGUUGUCCGGAAUUAUUGGGCGUAAAGAGUCUGUGUGAGCGGUUUGUCGCGUCCGUUGUGAAAGCUUGGGGCUCAACCCCAAGUCUGCAGUGGAUACGGGCAGACUAGAGUCAGGUAGGGGAGAACGGGAAUUCCUGGUGUAGCGGUGGAAAUGACGCAGAUAUCAGGAAGAACACCGGUGGCGAAAAGCGCUCUGCUAGGCCGCAACUGACACUCAUGGACGAAAGCUAGGGGAGCGAAUGGG
rnacentral:rRNA from 1 species